UACGAAGGGGACUAGCGUUGUUCGGAAUUACUGGGCGUAAAGCGCACGUAGGCGGAUUUGUAAGUCAGGGGUGAAAUCCCGAGGCUCAACCUCGGAACUGCCUUUGAUACUGCAAAUCUCGAGUCCGAUAGAGGUGGGUGGAACUGCGAGUGUAGAGGUGAAAUUCGUAGAUAUUCGCAAGAACACCAGUGGCGAAGGCGGCUCACUGGCCCGAUACUGACGCUGAGGCACGAAAGCGUGGGGAGCAAACAGG
rnacentral:rRNA from 1 species